UUCCCAUGCAGAGAGAGCAAGAGCUGGGGAUGUUGAUGGACCCUGGGUAGAGCCUGGGAUGUUCCAAGAUCUGCCCUGUACAUCUGCCCUGUACCAUUCCCCUAUGGCAGGGGAAGCGGUGUGAUUGUCAUGAGACAGGCUAUAGCCUGUACAUCAGCAACAGUGUGGGAUGGUUCCAGAAGGGAGAGCACAGUGGUGCUGGUUUGAGACACAGAAAGGUGCCUGCUCAGCAAGAACAAAGAGGAAGAAAAAGGACUCGGGUGUGGAGGUGUGCCAGGUCUUGGCCCCACUAAGAAAAACCCCUUUUGCCUCAAGGUGCAGGUGCUGGUGAGACCACCACUGAUAUCCAGAGCUCCACAGGUGAGGACAAGCAUGAGGGUAUGCCGGUUGCAUGGGCACGUCCUUCUCCCUGCCCCUCCCCAUCACACCCCUCUGCCCUCACACCUUCUGUCUCCCGGCUCAUCAUGCCUGGCUCCCGCACACCCUCCCCACAGCCAUGGUGCUUGCAGUGGUGCCUAUAAUCCUCAUCCUCCUGGCUGCAGGCAGCUGGUUUGCCAUCAGGAAAUGUGAGGGAGAGGGGGAAGGUGGGGGGAAGGCUGAGGCCAUGUGGAUACUGCUGCGGGCCUGGUGCAGAGGGAAAGGCAUUGGGGGGAUCCUGGGGGUGCACAGCUGGGGCAGACGGUGCCUGGGGGUGAUGGCUGUGGGCAGACCAGCUGGGGAGGCUGCUGAGGGAGCUGGGGACCUUCAGCCUUCAUCCCCGAGCCCCGAGAUGGGAGCCAGGGCUGGGCUGCACCUUGGCCUGUGCAUCCCAGCCCCUGUUCUUCUUGCAGGUGCCUGCAGAGGGAGAUGCCCAAGGAAAGCAACACCAAAGGGCAUAAGCUUCAUGACCCCUCCUCAGCACAUGCACAUCCCAGAACCAUUCCAUUCCUCUCCAGGCAGCAACAAGUUGACAGCCCGCAGACGGAAGACGCCAGCUAUGGUGACAUCCAGUGUGAGUACUACCUCCUCCCUUGGGGGAAGCCACAUGCUCCUCUUCCCAUGAGAAUCCUGUGCGAGCCCCCAUGCAAUCCCACCCCUUCAUUUCCCACUGGGACAUACAAAAUCCCUGCCCGUUCAUCAAGGCCAGGUUUCUCUCCAGCACCUCAUGUCCCGCUUCUUCCUUGAAUGCUGAUCGUGGCUGCUGGCUGCACAAGGGACAUGGCAGCAUCCCA
rnacentral:lncRNA from 1 species